CGCGGCAGGCAGCCGCCGCCACAGAGGUCAGCUGUGGGCAGAGAUGUAGCAAAGGCAGUAAGUAGCAGGCAUUUGGCUGAGUCCAGAGGCCCAGAAGGCCAAGCAGCGCUGGACCUGGCUACCACUGCCUGAGCCAGUGAACACUUCUGCUCAAUGGGGACAGCUGUUUCCAGUGAGAACCCCUCCACGCUGCAACAGGAGGAGGGAUUUAUGUUGAGGCGUGCAUUCCAAUGGCAAGAAUCCUAAGAAAUUAGACUCUAUUACUAAAAGCAUCUUUCUUGUUGCAAAUUUUGGGGGAGAGGCAAUAGGGCCAGCUCACUGCUGAAGUGAAGCAAGCCUUGCCUUUUUUCCCCAGCCACGUCAAUCAUGGGGAGAGAAUAACUACCCUCUGUUAUGACUAUCAAACUUGGGUGUAACUGUAUAUAUAUCCCAUCAUUGCUAUGCAGGUGGCCAGACAUUGUCUCAGUCGGUUAUAAAAGGCAUAGCAAUAAACAAGUGGCCUCCA